rnacentral:SRP_RNA from 1 species
CCAUGCUAGGUGGGGAGUUGGCGGUUCCCUAUACCCGAAAUCCGCCAUACGCGGGGCUGAAGACUUCCUGAGGCAACAUCUGGUUGUUUCACGGAGUGCAGGAAGGUGUUGAUAGUCGGGUCCCACGCAACAGAAACUUGUGAACCUGGUCAGAUCCGGAAGGAAGCAGCCAUAAGCAAGUAGUUCUGUGUGCCGUGGGAGUGCUCGGCUUGAGCUGGAAUGUACCACCUGAGCAGUCAGUGUUGUCGAAGGAAGGAGCAUGG